UGGAUACACCCACAGAGGUCCAAACCUGAACAGUUGGGGCAAAAAUGGACACAAUAUUCAAGCUUGAUACAGGUCUGAAUUUGGAUUGUAAUUGAAUAUUUGACACAUAAUAGGUUUCUGACACAGAAUAACUGUAGUCAAAGAACUUAGAAUUGGUUAAAUGAUUUGAAUUUAAAUUCAAUUUUUUGCUUUUGUGCAAUACACUGUGCCUGUGCAAAUUGACCCCCCC